CCAAACAUGACCUCUCAUAGUUUUAGUUGACUGAAUGUGUUAAACAAGGAAAGUUUAAUGUAUGUCUAAAUUUCUUUAAAAUAGACUCCUUUCUUUAGCUGUCUUAGAAACAAAUAAACAUUUGGAUGAAAAUAUGUGGCAGAAGAUACAUGAAAAAGAAGUGAUAUGUCUCAAGCAGGUCUCAUUCUCUAGCCUGGGUGCUGUUCUUCUAUAAAAAUUUCUCCACACCAUGGAUAGCACCUACUACAAAUGAAAAAUGUGAGACCUCAGAUUCACGCUGCUAUAAAUGACACCACAGAUGGACACUAUAAACGUCAGGAGUUUGGAAGAUGUUGAAGAAAUGGAGUGCUUUGCAAGAGUACGGGGCUAGCCAUCGCAUCACAGGAGCUACAGUCGCUGCAGUCACUGGUAUGUGGCGCCAGGGGCCCGACUGAUCGUUUCAGCUACAAGUCAGGACCUGAACAUGCUAAACACAAAAUGUCUCCUGAGUGGCAGCCCCAAUUUAAAGCUAAGCAGAAUCGGUGGUGCCUUCCCUGGAUAAUGCAACUGAGAUGACUGUCCUGCAUUUCUCUUCCCCCACACAAAUAGACGUAAGGCUAUAUGGUUAUUUUUAAGUUAGAAAACAUUUCUUAAGCCGGGCACAGUGGCUCACAUCUAUAAUCCCAGCACUUUGGGAGGCUGAGGUGGGGGAAUUGCUUGAGUUUAGGAGUUCCAGACCAGACUCUGCAACAAAGUGAGACAUGGUGGCACAUGCCUAUAGUCCUAGUUACUGUGGAGGCUGAGAUGGGAAGAUCCCUUGAGCUCAGGAGUUCAAGGCUGUAGUGAGCUAUGAUUGCACCACCGCAAUUCAGUCUGGGCGAUGGAGAGAGACCCUGUCUCAAAAAACAAAACAACAAACAUUUCUUAUUAGUCACAGCAAAGACCUCCAUUGGAGUUGGCAACAGUAGUGCUUCAGGUUGGAUUUGCGGUAAUUUAUACAAUGCUUUCAUAUACAUUAUUUCAUCCGAGCCUUACUUCAACCCUGUUGCAAAGUUUAAAAAGGAAUAUUAUCCACAUUCUGCACAUGAGAAAACUGAGAUCUGAAGAUGUCAACUGACUUUCCCCCGUUGCUGGUUAGUAAGCAUAGAAGUAUAGACAAACACAUGUGUUCUGACUGCAAAUCCUUUGCCCAGUUCCAUUAAUACUGCUGGGAUCUGCCUGAAGUCCAUGUCCUUUCUCUUCUUCUCCUUGUCGUGUUACUUUGGAUAAAGGCGGAGGGAGAAAACAACAUUCAUGGUGCAA
rnacentral:lncRNA from 10 species